AUUGAACGCUGGCGGCAGGCCUAACACAUGCAAGUCGAACGAGUUGUGGACGGGUGAGUAAUGACUGGGAAACUGCCCGUUGGAGGGGGAUAACUACUGGAAACGGUAGCUAAUACCGCAUACCAUCGGAUGUGCCCAGAUGGGAUUAGCUCGUAGGUGGGGUAACGGCUCACCUAGGCGACGAUCCCUAGCUGGUCUGAGAGGAUGACCAGCCACACUGGAACUGAGACACGGUCCAGACUCCUACGGGAGGCAGCAGUGGGGAAUAUUGGACUAUGGGCGCAAGCCUGAUGCAGCAAUGCCGCGUGAAGGAAGAAGGCCUUCGGGUUGUAAAGUACUUGCAGCGAGGAGGCGUUACUCGCAGAAGAAGCACCGGCUAGCUCCGUGCCAGCAGCCGCGGUAAUUC
rnacentral:rRNA from 1 species